rnacentral:rRNA from 1 species
AGCACGAGCGUGGACAACAGAUAGAUACUGUAGUCACGCUACGAAUGAGUACUAGUGUGUAGAUCAGUGCUGAGUACGCAUAGUACUCGCUGAGUAGUACGUACGCAGUAUGAACUAAGAUGACGGAGCCGCACACGUGAGCAUGUUGUUAUCGACGAUACGCGAAGACUACAGUCUGACAUCCGUGUUAGUAUAGAGAUAUAAUGAGAUUGCCGAGACAGUGUGCAUGUUGUCGUCAGCUCGUGUCGUGAGAUGUGGUAAGUCCCGCACGAGCGCACCUAUUUCUAGUACCAUCAUCAAGUUGGGACUCUAGAGAGACUGCCAGUGAUAAAUUGGAGGAAGUGGGGAUGACGUCAAAUCAUCAUGCCCUUUAUGACCUGGGCUACAAACGUGCUACAAUGGCUGAAACAAAGAGAAGCAAAAUCGCGAGAUGGAGCAAACCUCAUAAAAGCAGUCUCAGUUCGGAUUGAAGUCUGCAACUCGACUUCAUGAAGUUGGAAUCGCUAGUAAUCGCGAAUCAGAAUGUCGCGGUGAAUACGUUCCCGGGCUUUGUACACACCGCCCGUCAAACCAUGAGAGUUUGUAAUACCCGAAGCCGGUGGCCUAACGCAAGAGGGAGCCGUCUAAGGUAGGACAGAUGAUUGGGGUU